rnacentral:rRNA from 1 species
ACGAAAGUCUCGACGGAUCACGCCGCGUGAGUGACGAAGCCUUCGGGUCGUAAAGCUCUGUUGUUAGGGAAGAACAAGUACCGUUCGAAUAGGGCGGUACCUUGACGGUACCUAACCAGAAAGCCACGGCUAACUACGUGCCAGCAGCCGCGGUAAUACGUAGGUCGGCAAGCGUUGUCCGGAAUUAUUGGGCGUAAAGCGCGCGCAGGCGGUCUUUUAAGUCUGAUGUGAAAGCCCACGGCUCAACCGUGGAGGGUCAUUGGAAACUGGAGGACUUGAGUGCAGAAGAGGAGAGUGGAAUUCCACGUGUAGCGGUGAAAUGCGUAAUAUGUGGAGGAACACCAGUGGCGAAGCGGCUCUCUGGUCUGUAACUGACGCUGAGGCGCGAAAGCGUGGGGAGCAAACAGGAUUAGAUACCCUGGUAGUCCACGCCGUAACGAUGAGUGCUAGGUGUUGGGGGGUUCCACCCUCAGUGCUGAAGUUAACACAUUUAAGGCACUCCGCUGGGAGAGUACGACCGCAAGGUUGAA